AACGAACGCUGGCGGCAGGCCUAAUACAUGCAAGUCGAACGAGAUUGUUGUAGCAAUAUGACAUGAAAGUGGCGCACGGGUGCGUAACACGUAUGCAAUCUACCUUUGAUAGGGGAAUAGCUUCGAGAAAUCGGAAUUAAUGCCCCAUAACAUAUUUGAGUGGCAUCACUCGAUUAUCAAACCUCCGGGGAUCAAAGAUGAGCAUGCGCAACAUUAGCUAGUUGGUGAGGUAAUGGCUCACCAAGGCUACGAUGUUUAGGGGGUCUGAGAGGAUGAUCCCCCACACUGGUACUGAGACACGGACCAGACUCCUACGGGAGGCAGCAGUAGGGAAUAUUGGUCAAUGGAGGCAACUCUGAACCAGCCAUGCCGCGUUCAGGAUGACGGCCCUCUGGGUUGUAAACUGCUUUUAUACGGGAAGAAAAAGAGCUACGUGUAGCUUAUUGACGGUACCGUAAGAAUAAGGAUCGGCUAACUCCGUGCCAGCCGCCGCGGUAA
rnacentral:rRNA from 1 species